UAGAAUUCGUGGUGGAAAAUUUGUAGUUUAAGUGAAGUUGAAUGGCAUAUGGAGAAGCACAAAUGUUCGGUUGUCUAAGGAUAACAGAGCAAACAACUUAGGGCAGCAACCGUCCGCUUGUCGUAAGGAUAAUCAGAGCAAAGCAGCAACACAACACAGCAAAAGCAUCGUAGGAGAAUCACAGCUGAACGGAAAUCGUGAAAUUCCGAAAUUCGAACGGAGGAAAUUACAGAAAGGAAAGCGGUUUUGGUCUCUUUGCGUAUGCUUCAUCGACCAGUGAGCAUUGAGGAUCUGGAAUCCGCACAAAUUGAUUGAGAUGAGACCUUGAAUAACAAGUUGAUUGACAAAUGCUAAAGGACUCGGUCUUAUGUCUUGUAUGCUUAAUCCAUUUUAAUGAAGCAAAAAGUUUCAUUUGGUAUCAUGAUUCCCAAUCAUGAGUAGCUACACACACCCUAUUUCAGGGAUAUGAUUGUAUAUAAUCCCAUUGUAAUUCUAUGGUUUAAGCGGAUUCAUGUCUUUAGUUUUCCAUU